AACGUAGGUACCGGGCAUUAUCCGGAUUUACUGGGCGUAAAGCGUGUUCAGGCGGUCUGGCAAGUCGGGCAUGAAAUCUCUCGGCUCAACCGGGAGGGGUUGUCCGAUACUGCUGGACUGGAGGGCAGCAGAGGGUGGUGGAAUUCCGGGUGUAGUGGUGAAAUGCGUAGAUAUCCGGAGGAACACCAGUGGCGAAGGCGGCCACCUGGGCUGUACCUGACGCUAACACACGAAAGCUAGGGGAGCGAACGGG
rnacentral:rRNA from 1 species